rnacentral:lncRNA from 1 species
GUAGGCUUCAGUUUUUCAUGCUUCAGCAACAUCUUUAUGUUCUUGGCCCCUCAGGGAAAGAAGAAAGAGAAAAUGAAUGAACGAGUAGUAGGAAGAGAAAGAAGAUGGGGCACUUGGAGACACUGUCUGUCUAGUGGCCUUUAGCGCUGAAGCUUCCUUCCUCAGCAGUGACAGGAAAAUAGCCCAUCAGAGACCAGGACCUUGAUAGGCUCUGGGAUGGUGAGUCAGAGCUGGAUCUACAUUGUUGAUGUGCAGGAGGGGGAGCUCUUUGAAAAGCCCAAAGCCUGGAGGAAGGUAAGUUAUAAGCCACCUUGCCUGCUGGAGAACUAACCUAGUCCACCU